AAUGAACGCUGGCGGCGCGCCUAAUACAUGCAAGUCGAGCGAGAAGACGUAGCAAUACGUUUGUAAAGCGGCGAACGGGUGAGGAAUACAUGGGUAACCUACCCUCGAGUGGGGAAUAACUAGCCGAAAGGUUAGCUAAUACCGCGUACGCUUCUUGGACUUCGGUUCAGGGAGGAAAGCGAUGCCGAGGGUAUCGCGCUCUUGGAUGGGCUCAUGUCCUAUCAGCUUGUUGGGAGGUAACGGCUCACCAAGGCUUCGACGGGUAGCUGGUCUGAGAGGACGAUCAGCCACACUGGCACUGCGACACGGGCCAGACUCCUACGGGAGGCAGCAGUAAGGAAUAUUGCGCAAUGGGCGAAAGCCUGACGCAGCGACGCCGCGUGAGGGAUGAAGGUCUUCGGAUUGUAAACCUCUGUCACCGGGGACGAAAAGCCUUGAAUAAUAAUUCAAGGCCUGACUUAACCCGGAGAGGAAGCAGUGGCUAACUCU
rnacentral:rRNA from 1 species